rnacentral:pre_miRNA from 1 species
AUGUAGGGCAAUCUGUCUUUAAGUAGGGAUAAAUUAAUCUUAAAAAAAAGGAAUCCUAGAAAGUUUUCCCUUCAAGUCAGGCUUCUUAU